GAUGAACGCUGGCGGCGUGCCUAAUACAUGCAAGUCGAGCGAACGGAAGAGAAGCUUGCUUCUCUGAUGUUAGCGGCGGACGGGUGAGUAACACGUGGAUAACCUACCUAUAAGACUGGGAUAACUGCGGGAAACCGUAGCUAAUACCGGAUAAUAUUUUGAACCGCAUGGUUCAAAAGUGAAAGACGGUCUUGCUGUCACUUAUAGAUGGAUCCGAGAUGCAUUAGCUAGUUGGUAAGGUAACGGCUUACCAAGGCAACGAUGCAUAGCCGACCUGAGAGGGUGAUCGGCCACACUGGAACUGAGACACGGUCCAGACUCCUACGGGAGGCAGCAGUAGGGAAUCUUCCGCAAUGGGCGAAAGCCUGACGGAGCAACGCCGCGUGAGUGAUGAAGGUCUUCGGAUCGUAAAACUCUGUUAUUAGGGAAGAACAUAUGUGUAAGUAACUGUGCACAUCUUGACGGUACCUAAUCAGAAAGCCACGGCUAACUACGUG
rnacentral:rRNA from 1 species